rnacentral:rRNA from 1 species
CCUACGGGAGGCUGCAGUGGGGAAUUUUGCGCAAUGGGGGCAACCCUGACGCAGCAACGCCGCGUGCGGGACGACGGCCUUCGGGUUGUAAACCGCUUUCAGCAGGGAAUAUAGUGAAGGUACCUGCAGAAGAAGCUCCGGCUAACUACGUGCCAGCAGCCGCGGUAAUACGUAGGGAGCGAGCGUUAUCCGGAUUCAUUGGGCGUAAAGCGCGCGUAGGCGGCCCGUCAAGCGGGGUUUCAAAUCCAGGGGCUCAACCUCUGGCCGGACCCCGAACUGGCGGGCUCGAGUGCGGUAGAGGAAGGUGGAAUUCCCGGUGUAGCGGUGGAAUGCGCAGAUAUCGGGAAGAACACCGAUGGCGAAGGCAGCCUUCUGGGCCGCUACUGACGCUGAGGCGCGAAAGCUAGGGGAGCGAACAGGAUUAGAUACCCCAGUAGUC